UACGUAGGGGGCAAGCGUUGUCCGGAAUCAUUGGGCGUAAAGCGCGUGUAGGCGGCCCGAUAAGUCCGCUGUGAAAGUCCAGGGCUCAACCCUGGGAUGCCGGUGGAUACUGUCGGGCUCGAGUCCGGAAGAGGCGAGUGGAAUUCCUGGUGUAGCGGUGAAAUGCGUAGAUAUCUGGAGGAACACCGGUGGCGAAGGCGGCAUUCUGGACUGCAACUGACACUGAUGAACGAAAGCCAGGGGAGCAAACGGG
rnacentral:rRNA from 1 species